rnacentral:rRNA from 1 species
UACGUAGGGUGCAAGCGUUAAUCGGAAUACUGGGCGUAAAGCGUGCGCAGGCGGUGAUGUAAGACAGGUGUGAAAUCCCCGGGCUUAACCUGGGAACUGCAUUUGUGACUGCAUCGCUGGAGUGCGGCAGAGGGGGAUGGAAUUCCGCGUGUAGCAGUGAAAUGCGUAGAUAUGCGGAGGAACACCGAUGGCGAAGGCAAUCCCCUGGGCCUGCACUGGACGCUCAUGCACGAAAGCGUGGGGAGCGAAACAAGG